AAACACCACGUUCUCUCGGAGCAGUUCCUGGUCAGCAAUGCUUGCAAUCUUUGUACUCGCUGGAUACCGACAAUCUUUCCAUUUGAACUUUCUCAGUGCAACCUAAGAAACAAGAAGCUGGCGUGGACUGGAUCAUUCAACUUGAUACUGAUGAGCUAAUGCAUCCAGCUGGAAGCCUGGAACUAGUGAGUAUUCUUUACGGAGACUUCUGGCAGAUAUACCUGAAGAUGUUGACAUGGUCAUAUUUCCUAACUAUGAGAGCAGUGUUGAGAGAGAUGAUGUGAAGGAACCUUUUAGUGAAGGAAAUGGAGGUGAUCAAAUUUGAAGGGUUGCCACAAGUCAAUUUGAUCUCAUUGAAGUGGAAGUGGAUAGUGAAGAGUUUUUGAACUAUUGUAAAAAUUUGAAUACAUUAUAUUUGAUUUUGUGAAAUAUAUUCAUUGCUAGAAUAUAUGUUGAACUAUUGUAAGAGUACUUUUUGAACUAUUGUGUACACAUAUUUAGAAUAUUGCUUUAUAA